AGGGUUCGAUUCUGGCUCAGGAUGAACGCUGGCGGCGUGCUUAACACAUGCAAGUCGAACGGGAUCCAUCAGGCUUUGCUUGGUGGUGAGAGUGGCGAACGGGUGAGUAAUGCGUGACCGACCUGCCCCAUACACCGGAAUAGCUCCUGGAAACGGGUGGUAAUGCCGGAUGCUCCAGUUGAUCGCAUGGUCUUCUGGGAAAGCUUUCGCGGUAUGGGAUGGGGUCGCGUCCUAUCAGCUUGACGGCGGGGUAACGGCCCACCGUGGCUUCGACGGGUAGCCGGCCUGAGAGGGCGACCGGCCACAUUGGGACUGAGAUACGGCCCAGACUCCUACGGGAGGCAGCAGUGGGGAAUAUUGCACAAUGGGCGCAAGCCUGAUGCAGCGACGCCGCGUGAGGGAUGGAGGCCUUCGGGUUGUAAACCUCUUUUAUCGGGGAGCAAGCGAGAGUGAGUUUACCCGUUGAAUAAGCACCGGCUAACUACGUGCCAGCAGCCGCGGUAAUACGUAGGGUGCAAGCGUUAUCCGGAAUUAUUGGGCGUAAAGGGCUCGUAGGCGGUUCGUCGCGUCCGGUGUGAAAGUCCAUCGCUUAACGGUGGAUCCGCGCCGGGUACGGGCGGGCUUGAGUGCGGUAGGGGAGACUGGAAUUCCCGGUGUAACGGUGGAAUGUGUAGAUAUCGGGAAGAACACCAAUGGCGAAGGCAGGUCUCUGGGCCGUUACUGACGCUGAGGAGCGAAAGCGUGGGGAGCGAACAGGAUUAGAUACCCUGGUAGUCCACGCCGUAAACGGUGGAUGCUGGAUGUGGGGCCCGUUCCACGGGUUCCGUGUCGGAGCUAACGCGUUAAGCAUCCCGCCUGGGGAGUACGGCCGCAAGGCUAAAACUCAAAGAAAUUGACGGGGGCCCGCACAAGCGGCGGAGCAUGCGGAUUAAUUCGAUGCAACGCGAAGAACCUUACCUGGGCUUGACAUGUUCCCGACAGCCGUAGAGAUACGGCCUCCCUUCGGGGCGGGUUCACAGGUGGUGCAUGGUCGUCGU
rnacentral:rRNA from 1 species